GCUCCGGUGACCUCAAAGUUAGAGCUUCCGCCUCAGAUGCGGGAGGUCGCGAGUUCGAUCUUCGGUCGAGUCA